rnacentral:rRNA from 1 species
AGAGUUUGAUUCUGGCUCAGGAUGAACGCUGGCGGCGUGCCUAACACAUGCAAGUUGAACGAAGCGCUUACGACGGAAUCCUCCGGGAGGAAGAUGUAAGCGACUUAGUGGCGGACGGGUGAGUAACGCGUGGGUAACCUGCCCUGUACAGGGGGACAACAGCCGGAAACAGCUGCUAAUACCCCAUAAGCGCACGGUAUCGCAUGAUACAGUGUGAAAAGCCGAGACGGUACAGGAUGGACCCGCGUCUGAUUAGAUAGUUGGUGGGGUAACGGCCUACCAAGUCAGCGAUCAGUAGCCGGCCUGAGAGGGUGAACGGCCACAUUGGAACUGAGACACGGUCCAA